UACGGAGGUUGCAAGCGUUGUUCGGAAUCAUUGGGCGUAAAGCGCGUGUAGGCGGCUUGGCAAGUCAGUUGUGAAAGCCCGGGGCCCAACCCCGGAACUGCAUCUGAAACUGCCUGGCUAGAGUCCCGGAGAGGAAGGCAGAAUUCCCGGUGUAGGGGUGAAAUCCGUAGAUAUCGGGAGGAAUACAAGCGGCGAAGGCGGCCUUCUGGACGGUGACUGACGCUGAGACGCGAAAGCGUGGGGAGCAAACAGG
rnacentral:rRNA from 1 species